GAGACCAUGAUGGCGGCGGCGCUGGGGCCCCCAGAAGUGAUCGCUCAGCUGGAGAACGCGGCCAAAGUUCUGAUGGCACCACCUUCCAUGGUUAGCACUGAGCAGCGCCAGCAUGCUGAGCACAUAUUCUUAUCGUUUAGGAAAUCAAAGUCACCAUUCGCAGUUUGCAAGCAUAUUUUGGAAACCAGCAAGGUGGACUACGUGCUCUUCCAGGCCGCCACGGCCGUCAUGGAGGCCGUCGUCCGCGAGUGGAUCCUGCUGGAGAAGGGCAGCAUCGAGUCCCUGCGCACAUUCCUCCUCACCUACGUCUUACAGAGGCCCAACAAACUUUGGCCUGUUCUAUUCUAACUGCACUCUUGAGUGAAUUCUCAAGUUCAAGCAAAACUAGCAACAUUGGACUGAGUAUGGAAUUCCAUGGCAACUGCAAAAGAGUUUUUCAGGAAGAAGACCUGCGCCAGAUUUUCCUGUUGACCGUGGGAGUCCUUCAGGAGUUCAGCAGGCGCGAGAGCCUCAGCGCCCAGAUGUCGUCCGUGUUCCAGCGCUACCUUGCCCUCGCCAACCACGUCCUGAGCUGGAACUUUCUUCCUCCAAACCUGGGCAGACAUUAUAUAGCCAUGUUUGAAUCCUCACAAAAUGUGCUUCUGAAGCCAACGGAGUCCUGGCGGGAGGCCCUCCUGGACAGCAGGGUCAUGGAGCUUUUCUUUACCGUACAUCGGAAGAUCAGAGAAGAUUCUGACAUGGCCCAGGACUCCCUGCAGUGCCUCGCCCAGCUGGCGUCUCUUCACGGGCCCAUCUUCCCUGACGAAGGGUCCCAGGUUGACUACCUGGCACACUUCAUCGAGGGGCUGCUGAACACCAUCAACGGGAUCGAGAUAGAAGACUCUGAAGCGGUGGGGAUCUCCAGCAUCAUCAGCAACCUGGUGACCGUGUUCCCGCGGAGCGUUUUGACGGCCAUUCCCAGUGAGCUGUUCUCGUCCUUUGUGAACUGCCUCACGCACCUCACCUGCUCCUUCGGGCGCAGCGCGGCGCUGGAGGAAGUGCUGGAUAAGGAUGACAUGGCUUACAUGGAAGCCUACGACAGGCUGCUGGAGUCCUGGCUGACGCUGGUCCAAGACGACGCGCACUUCCACAAGGGCUUCUUCACGCAGCACGCGGUUCAGGUUUUCAACUCCUAUGUCCAGUGCCACCUCGCCGCUCCAGACGGCACGCGGAAUUUGACCGCCAACGGCGUGGCCUCCCGCGAGGAAGAAGAGAUCAGCGAGCUGCAAGAGGACGAUCGCGACCAGUUCUCGGACCAGCUCGCCAGUGUGGGGAUGCUCGGCCGGAUCGCCGCAGAGCACUGCGUACCUCUGCUGACAAGUUUGUUAGAAGAAAGAGUGACGAGGCUGCACGGGCAGUUGCAGCGGCAGCAGCAGCAGCUCCUGGCCGCCCCCGCCUCGCGCUCCGUCGACAGCAAGACGCUGGAUGAUCUGUACGAAGAUAUCCACUGGCUGAUUUUAGUUACAGGCUACCUCUUAGCUGAUGAUACUCAGGGAGAGACUCCACUAAUACCUCCAGAAAUAAUGGAAUAUUCCAUUAAGCAUUCAUCUGAAGUUGACAUUAACACAACCCUUCAAAUUUUGGGAUCUCCGGGAGAAAAGGCUUCCUCCAUCCCAGGGUACAACAGCACAGAUUCUGUGAUUAGGCUGUUUUCUGCGGUUCUGCGAGUUUCGGAAGUUGAAUCUCGAGCCGUGAGAGCGGCUCUCACUCACCUCCUGAGCCCUCAGAUGGGCAAGGAUAUCGUUUGGUUUCUAAAGCGCUGGGCAAAGACUUACCUCCUGGUGGAUGAGAAACUGUACGAUCAGAUAAGCGUGCCCUUCAGUGCGGCCUUUGGGGCGGACACGGAGGGCUCCCAGUGGGUGGUCGGCUACCUCCUGCAGAAAGUCAUCAGCAACCUGUCGGUGUGCAGCAGCGAGCAGGACCUUGCAAACGACACCGUGCAGCUGCUGGUCACCCUGGUGGAGAGAAGGGAGAGGGCAAACUUAGUGAUUCAGUGUGAAAACUGGUGGAGCCUAGCUAAGCAGUUUGCAAGCCGCAGCCCGCCUCUGAAUUUCUUGUCCAGUCCUGUGCAGAGGGCGCUGAUGAAGGCGCUCGUCCUGGGCGGCUUUGCCCACAUGGACACAGAAGCCAAACAGCAGUACUGGACAGAGGUUCUUCAGCCACUUCAGCAGCGAUUCUUAAGAGUGAUAAAUCAAGAAAACUUUCAGCAGGUGUGUCAGCAGGAGGAGGUCAAGCAGGAGAUCACUGCCACGCUGGAGGCCCUGUGUGGCAUUGCCGAGGCCACGCAGGUUGACAAUGUAGCCGUCCUUUUUAAUUUUUUAAUGGACUUCCUUACCAAUUGCAUUGGGCUGAUGGAAGUUUACAAAAAUACCCCAGAGACUGUCAAUCUCAUCAUAGAAGUUUUUGUUGAAGUUGCACAUAAGCAGAUAUGCUAUCUCGGAGAGUCCAAAGCCAUGACCUUGUAUGAAGCCUGCCUGACGCUGCUGCAGGUGUAUUCCAGGAACAACCUGGGGCGGCAGAGGAUCGACGUCACGGCGGAGGAGGAGCAGUACCAGGACCUGCUGCUCAUCAUGGAGCUUCUCACGAACCUUCUGUCCAAAGAGUUCAUAGAUUUCAGCGACGCAGAUGAAGUGUUUAGAGGCCAGGAGCCCGGGCAAGCCGCUGGCAGAUCUGUGUCGGCCGCCGAUGUUGUGUUGUACGGCGUGAACCUGAUUCUGCCCUUGAUGUCCCAGGAUCUCCUAAAGUUUCCAACCCUUUGUAAUCAGUACUACAAAUUGAUUACAUUUAUCUGUGAGAUUUUUCCUGAAAAAAUACCACAGCUUCCGGAAGAUCUUUUUAAAAGUCUGAUGUACUCGCUGGAACUAGGGAUGACGUCAUAUCCUUUGACCCAACGUGGGGGUCCCUUUCCCUGGGGAAGAAGCUGCUUGAAGAGAAUGAGCAGAAUUUGUAUUUUGUGUGCGUGGCUCAGUCUUACUUCUUUAGAAGAAGCUGUCGUGUUGACACCUGCCCCAGUUCUGUGUUUCUCUCAUGAAUUUGCCCCGUGUUGUCCUUCCACAGCUCAGAAGCAUCUGGCCCUGGUGACGAGCGCCUGUGCCCCGGCGCCCCCAUUCACGGCGUCACACGUGUUGCUGGGUCUGUGGUGUCAGCUCCUUGGGAGCCACAGCCGGUGUGGGGGUGUCACAGCCCAGAGAGACCUUGUCCUGGGCCCCAGACACGUGUGUCACCUCCUUCCUCGAACUCAGCAAAGGCAGGUCAGAAACAGGAGCUUUGUGAAUCUUUGCUAAGUCAGGUGUGUCUGCUCUAGUUUGUUCUUUGACCUUCGUGAUCAGAAUGAGUUCGGAGGUUUGCCAGCUGUGCCUGGAAGCUCUGACGCCGCUGGCUGAACAGUGUGCAAAAGCGCAGGAGACAGACUCGCCGCUUUUUCUGGCAACGCGGCACUUCCUCAAGCUGGUUUUCGACAUGCUGGUUUUGCAAAAGCACAACACAGAGAUGACCACGGCGGCCGGCGAAGCUUUCUACACGUUGGUGUGCCUGCAUCAGGCAGAAUAUUCUGAGUUGGUUGAAACAUUACUGUCAAGUCAGCAAGACCCAGUUAUUUACCAGAGACUAGCAGACGCCUUCAACAAGCUCACGGCCAGCAGCACGCCGCCGGUGCUGGACCGGAAGCAGAAGAUGACCUUCCUGAAGAGUUUAGAAGAGUUUAUGGCGAAUGUUGGUGGCCUCCUUUGUGUAAAAUAAACCACAAAGCUGUAUCUUAAUCAGAUCCUUCCUGCCAAGUGCACUGAAUUGCUAAGCGUUGACUUGAGUCUUGUCCUGGUCCUCUGUUCUUUGGCCGUGGGGUCCCGGAGAGCCUGCCAGUGGUGCGCCAUGCAGGGGAGCAGGAGAGGCCCCUCGGCACCAGCCCCUGCUCGUGGGGACCGGCCACCGUGGGUCGUAGGUGCCUUGGAGAUCUCGAGGGGCGAUGCUCUCGGGCUCCUGAAAUGCCAUGUGUGCGCAGACAGGUGUGGGCGCCAGGAAGCACGCAGCCAGUGCCUCUUCCCUCUUGUCAGAACGUCAGGUGGCUCCCCAGCAUUUAGCCUUUGUGUCAUCAGAUCGUAGAUGGAGACCUGCUCGGCCCCUGUCCACUGGUCACCUGCGUCACCCAGCAGCCGGGUGCAAGGGUGGGCGCAGCGACAGACCCUCAGUCAGAAUGUGUGUGCUGGACCUUGGAUUCUUCGUUUUAACAAGCGCAGCUCCUCCCUGCCUGCCGCAGUUGCAGUGGAUGCGGAAGUGGCUGAAAGCUCUUAGAGGCCUGUGCUUUCAGACUCUGCUCUGGGGAGGGGCCCUAACAGCAGAGGGCUUUUGUUAACAAGGCUCCCCCGUCUACUUUGUAAGCUGCCUGGUGCUCGCAGGCGUUGGCAAUACAGGUCUCUACCCAGACUCCAGUGCUUGAACCCGAGGAGGAAAAGACGUGUGUAGGUUUGUUCCAUAAAAAGAUCUUUAGGAACUGUAGCCAUUUCAUUGCCUUAAUUUUAAGAAGAAAUGACAAAAAAAAAA